GCCAGAUACCAUACCACGUAGAAAUCACCGGUUGUCGUCCAGUCACCGAAGUUAGGCUACGUUGGGCCCAGCUAGGGAUACCGGGUGCUGCUGACA
rnacentral:rRNA from 1 species